GACGAACGCUGGCGGCGUGCCUAAUACAUGCAAGUAGAACGCUGAAGGAGGAGCUUGCUUCUCUGGAUGAGUUGCGAACGGGUGAGUAACGCGUAGGUAACCUGCCUGGUAGCGGGGGAUAACUAUUGGAAACGAUAGCUAAUACCGCAUAAGAGUAGAUGUUGCAUGACAUUUGCUUAAAAGGUGCAAUUGCAUCACUACCAGAUGGACCUGCGUUGUAUUAGCUAGUUGGUGGGGUAACGGCUCACCAAGGCGACGAUACAUAGCCGACCUGAGAGGGUGAUCGGCCACACUGGGACUGGGACACGGCCCAGACUCCUACGGGAGGCAGCAGUAGGGAAUCUUCGGCAAUGGACGGAAGUCUGACCGAGCAACGCCGCGUGAGUGAAGAAGGUUUUCGGAUCGUAAAGCUCUGUUGUAAGAGAAGAAAGAGUGUGAGAGUGGAAAGUUCACACUGUGACGGUAUCUUACCAGAAAGGGACGGCUAACUACGUG
rnacentral:rRNA from 1 species